UCUCUCCAUUUUGAUUACGACCCCGUUGGAGCUUUCUCUCCGAGUCGACCAUUACCAAUCUCUCUCUCUCUCUCUCUCUCUCUCUCUCUCUCUCUCUCUCGAUCAUAGGUUUUAGUCUCCGUGUCUCGGAGCUUCCAUUACUCUAUUCGUCUUCCUCUCUGCGUUCAAAUUUCAGUGAGCGAACAAUGGUGGCUAUGGCGAACGACUUUCAGGAUCGCCGGAAUUUGAAGCUCGAUAACCUUCACGACAUCAUCUACCUCAAGCCGUUUGCCACCCCAACCUCUUCACCAUAAUCGACCCGUUCUUUCACUUCUCACCCGCGCACAACCUGAUCUGUUUUUCGAUCGACGACCGGUGCCGGAAUCUCAUCUUCAAUCCAGGUCGAGAAAGCCUGGUUGAAUGGAUAGAGGAUCCAUCAUAUGGUAAUGCAAUGCAACAUUGUCUUGGAAUAUAGUUUAUGGAAGUGGUAAGAUCCAAUCCCUAUUGAGUAGUAUCUACAAUUGUAAUAUGGAGAUUAUGUUGUUUUAGGCUAAACAAUCAUGAAUGAUCUGUUUUGUGUUGCCUUCUAUUUGGAUAAAUAUUACCUUCUUCCAGGUCCUCUUUUAUCUCUCUUGGAUAUUCAACCACACAAAUUUAAUCACCGUUUUAGGUCAUUGGACUUGAUGUUGGUAUUCCUGUAAAGUGUUCUUUUGUAUGCAGUUAGUUGGUCAAAUUAUAUUGUAUAAAUCCAUGUUUCAGAUCCAUUGAGGCUUUCGUUUUGUGGAACUAAACUUCCCAUGCGACAUUUGCAAUUUUUGGACUGUUUCUAGUGAUCAUGUCAUGGUCUCAUGUUGUAUCUGCUAAAUGUUAGAUAAUUUUUCUGUACUUUUGACCUGUAGUUUUGCAAUACAAGGAAGAGAUUGGGUACUUGCAAAA